GAGCUGCUAACUAUUUCCCCUCCCCACCCAUCCAUCCAUCCAUCCCCCACCUCCAACAACAACAGCCGCGCGAGCAAACCCUAAAUCCAGUGGGGGGCGCGCCCAUGGCGUCGCUGCCCAAGCCGCCGCCUCCGCCGCGCCCCAAGACGCGUGGCAGCUACAACUGCGGCCGCUGCGGCCUCCCCAAGAAGGGCCACGUCUGCGCCGCCGGGGGCCCCGCCCCCACCCCCUCCCCUUCCUCCUCCUCCGGCGCCGCCACCACCACCACCAGCGGCGGAGGAGGCGGAGGAGGGGAGGGGACCAAGCUCCGCCGCGCCCUCUCCUUCGAGGACGCCGCCACCGCCUCGGCCUCGGCCACGCCGUCGUCUCCGGAGAAGAAGCCGAGGGUGGUUCCCGAUGCGGAUGCGGUGGGACGGGGCGGGGAGGGGGAGGUGGAGAUGGUGGAGGGGCAGGGCGGCGAGGAGGAGUUGAAGGAGGAGGAGGAGGCGGUGGAGCUGGGCGGGAGGGCCGUGCCGAGGGAGCUCAUGGCGGAGGUGCUGCGCCGCCUGGGGCCCAGGGGGGUCAUGGCCGCCGCCGCGGUCAGCCGCGGCUGGCGCGACUGCGCGGGGCGAGUGUGGCGCGCGGCGGAGGAGCUGCGCCUCCGCGCCGCUGGGGUCAGCCUCGUCGGCGCGCUGCUCCCGCGGUGCCCCGCGCUCUCGCGGCUCUCCCUGCGAAUGGAAAGUGAUGUUGAUGCCACUAUACUGGCCUGUCUUGCUUUUUCCUGCCCAAGUUUAGGAACUCUUGAGAUCAGCAUGUCUGACAACGCAGUCAACAGGAUGACUGGGGAGGAACUAAGUCGGUUUGUUUCGGAAAAGCAUUCUCUCUCAGUUCUCAAAAUUGGUGGUUGCUGUAACCUUGGUUUUCUUAAUCUAAACUCCUCAAGCCUGUCAAUUCUUUGGCUGUCAGAUCUUUGUUCCCUUUCAAAAUCGGUCAUAAACUGUCCUAACAUGAGCGAAAUCUCGCUGUGCUUCACACAGCAAAGUAACGACUGUACUGAUCUUGUCACAUUGAUGGAUGGCCUGGGUCGUACCUGUCCUAACUUAAAAAACAUGCACAUAUCAUCUGCUCAGUUAUCCAAUGAAGCUGUGUUUGCUCUGGAGGGUGCUAGCCUCAGGGGCUUGUGCAUGCUAUCAUUGAUUCUAGGGUCAAAAAUAACAGAUGCAGCUGUUGCAUCUAUUGUUCGAUCUUGUGCAAGCUUGGAAUUGCUUGAUUUAAGCGGAUCUAGUAUCAGUGAUAAUGGUGUCGGGAUGAUCUGCAAGGCAUUUCCUCAUACUUUAUCAAGGCUACUCCUUGCUCUUUGCCCAAAUGUGACGACGUGUGGGAUCCAAUUUGCAACAGCACAAUUACCACUUCUUCAGCUAAUGGACUGUGGAAUGACCUUAUGUGCUAGUUUGCAGAAUGAAAAACAGGGGCCUUAUUUUGGUGAAAUUAACGGUGCCAUUAGAUUUUGUCCAAAAUUGCCCACCUCGAAAAAACAGUCUACUAACCAAAAGCUUAUCAUUAAGCAUGGCAAUCUGAAGAAGCUCAGUCUAUGGGGCUGCUCAGCAAUAGAUGCUCUAUAUCUAAAUUGUCCAGAGCUGAAUGAUCUAAACCUCAACUCCUGUACAAAUCUAAAUCCAGAACGGUUGCUUCUUCAGUGUCCAAAAUUAAAGAAUGUGCAUGCAUCUGGUUGUCAUGAUAUGUUGAUUGGAGCAAUCAGAAACCAGAAACUGAUAAACCGAAAGACAACAUAACGAAGAAAAGUGUUUCAAUUGGAAUCUACAAAGGAGUAAGCACCAGCAGGCUGAAGGUUCUGAAUGAGUUCGCUGCAGCUGAACCACAUCUUCCAUGCAAGCGGCUAGCAGAUGGUUCAAAAAGGGUUCAACUUCCGCAGUUCGCACAGCAAGAGCCAUCGCAGGACAAAAAGGGGAUCGAUUUAAGGCGGAACCAGUGCACCGUUCAUCUUGAUUGAUAAUAACGUAACCAGAUGUAGAAACCUGAGCAUUGUUAUUGUACACAUCCUAAUUUUUAUAGCACACUGCUGGGAGAUUGUUAAGUUGUUGUGCAUUCGGUGAUGUCUCCAGAACUUAUAGUAUCUAUGAUGCGCUUGUUGUAUAAAGUUGCUUUGGGCAACUGUUUCCAUUGCUUAUGAUGUGUGUUUCCCUGGCCUGAGACUUUGUAAAACAAUAAUAUGUAGCCAUGACGAUAUAUUCUAUUCUAUUCGGGAAAAUAAAGAGCCUGUAUCCUUUGAAAUGUUA